rnacentral:tRNA from 1 species
AGAGACACUAGUUUAACAAAAACAUAGGCAUGUCAUCCCUAAAAUACCAGUCUAUUGGUGUGUCUCUA